rnacentral:rRNA from 1 species
UCGAAGCGGUAAAGAGGAGCUUGCUUCUCUUGAGAGCGGGGCACGCGUGAAUUAUACCUAGGAAUCUGCCUGAUAGUGGGGGAUAACUUUAGGAAACGGACGCUAAUACCGCAUACGUCCUACGGGAGAAAGCAGGGGACCUUCGGGCCUUGCGCUAUCAGAUGAGCCUAGGUCGGAUUAGCUAGUUGGUGAGGUAAUGGCUCACCAAGGCUACGAUCCGUAACUGGUCUGAGAGGAUGAUCAGUCACACUGGAACUGAGACACGGUCCAGACUCCUACGGGAGGCAGCAGUGGGGAAUAUUGGACAAUGGGCGAAAGCCUGAUCCAGCCAUGCCGCGUGUGUGAAGAAGGUCUUCGGAUUGUAAAGCACUUUAAGUUGGGAGGAAGGGCAGUUACCUAAUACGUGACUGUCUUGACGUUACCGACAGAAUAAGCACCGGCUAACUCUGUGCCAGCAGCCGCGGUAAUACAGAGGGUGCAAGCGUUAAUUCGGAAUUACUGGGCGUAAAGCGCGCGUAGGUGGUUUGUUAAGUUGAAUGUGAAAUCCCCGGGCUCUACCUGGAAACUGCAUCCAAAACUGGCAAGCUAGAGUAUGGUACAGGACACUGAAAUUUCCUGUGUAGCGGUGAAAUGCGUAGAUAUAGGAAGGAACACCAGUGGCGAAGGCGACUACCUGGACUGAUACUGACACUGAGGUGCACAAAGCGUGGGGAGCAAACAGGAUUAGAUACCCUGGUAGUCCACGCCGUAAACGAUGUCAACUAGCCGUUGGGAGUCUUGAACUCUUAGUGGCGCAUCUAACGCAUUAAGUUGACCGCCUGGGGAGUUACGGCCGCAAGGUUAAAACUCAAAUGAAUUGGACGGGGGCCCGCACAAGCGGUGGAGCAAGUGGUUUAAUUCGAAUCCACCGCGAAAGAAACCUUACCAGGCCUUGGACAUCCACUGGAACUUUUCUAGAAAAUACCAUUGGUGCCCUUCGGGAAACAUUGAAAACAGGUCCUGCCAUGGCGUGUCCUCAACCUCGUUGUUCAUGCCAAUGUUUGGGUUAACGUCCCCGUAA